rnacentral:rRNA from 1 species
GGGUCAUGCUUCCAAGAAAAGCCCUAUACCCGUUAAGGCAUGAUGGCCUGUACCCGAAACCGACACAGGUGGGGUGGUAGAGAAUACCGAGGGGCGCGAGGUAACUCUCUCUAAGGAACUCGGCAAAAUGGCCCCGUAACUUCGGGAGAAGGGGUGCCACCGCAAGGUGGUCGCAGUGAAGAGGCCCAGGCGACUGUUUACCAAAAACACAGGUCUCCGCUAAGUCGCAAGACGAUGUAUGGGGGCUGACGCCUGCCCAGUGCCGGAAGGUUAAGGAAGCUGGUCAGCGUAAGCGAAGCUAGCGACUGAAGCCCCGGUGAACGGCGGCCGUAACGAUAACGGUCCUAAGGUAGCGAAAUUCCUUGUCGGGUAAGUUCCGACCCGCACGAAAGGCGUAACGAUCUGGGCGCUGUCUCGGAGAGAGGCUCGGCGAAAUAGAAUUGUCUGUGAAGAUGCGGACUACGUGCACCCGGACAGAAAGACCCUAUGAAGCUUUACUGUAGCUUGGUAUUGUGCUCGGGCUCGGAAUGCGCAGGAUAGGUGGGAGGCUAUGAACCAUUGCUUGCGGGUGAUGGUGAGCCACUGGUGAGAUACCACUCUUUCCGAGCUAGAGUUCUAACAGCCACCCGUUAUCCGGGGGCUGGACAGUAUCAGGUGGGCAGUUUGACUGGGGCGGUCGCCUCCUAAAAGGUAACGGAGGCGCGCAAAGGUUUGCUCAGGCUGGUUGGAAAUCAGCCGACGAGUGUAAAAGCAGAAGCAAGCUUGACUGUGAGACCUACAAGUCGAACAGGGAGGAAACUCGGCUUUAGUGAUCCGACGGUUCUGCGUGGAAGGGCCGUCGCUCAACGGAUAAAAGUUACUCUAAGGAUAACAGGCUGAUCUCCCCCAAGAGUUCACAUCGACGGGGAGGUUUGGCACCUCGAUGUCGGCUCAUCGCAACCUGGGGCUGAAGUCGGUCCCAAGGGUUGGGCUGUUCGCCCAUUAAAGCGGUACGCGAGCUGGGUUCAGAACGUCGUGAGACAGUUCGGUCCAUAUCCGGUGCAUGCGCAGGAAUAUUGAGAGGAUUUCUCCCUAGUACGAGAGGACCGGGAGGAACGCACCUCCGGUGUACCAGUUAUCGUGCCAACGGUAAACGCUGGGUAGCCAUGUGCGGAGAGGAUAACCGCUGAAAGCAUCUAAGUGGGAAGCCCACCUCAAGAUGAGUAUUCCCAUGGGGUAACCCAGUAAGGUCACGGGAAGAACACCCGUUGAUAGGCUCUACGUGGAAGCGCAGUAAUGUGUGAAGCGGAGGAGUACUAAUAGACCGAGGGCUUGACC